rnacentral:rRNA from 1 species
GAUGAACGCUGGCGGCGUGCCUAAUACAUGCAAGUCGAGCGGUAAGGCCACUUCGGUGGUACACGAGCGGCGGACGGCUGAGUAACACGUAGGAACGUACCCCAAACUGAGGGAUAAGCACCGGAAACGGUGUCUAAUACCGCAUGUGCUCUUCGGAGUAAAGCUUCGGCGGUUUGGGAACGGCCUGCGCAUGAUUAGCUUGUUGGUGAGGUAAUGGCUCACCAAGGCGACGAUCAUUAGCUGGUCUGAGAGGAUGAUCAGCCAGACUGGGACUGAGAACGGCCCAGACUCCUACGAGAGGCAGCAGUAGGGAAUUUUCCACAAUGGGGGCAACCCUGAUGGAGCAACGCCGCGUGCAGGAUGAAGGCCUUCGGGUUGUAAACUGCUUUUAUGUGUGAAGAUUAUGACGGUAGCACAUGAAUAAGGAUCGGCUAACUCCGUGCCAGCAGCCGCGGUAAAAC